AAUCCAAAUGGGUGAGAAUGGCUUAUGGAGUAAAGUGAACAACUGAAUACAGGGUGAAGGAGUACUUAUUGCAAAUAUAUAUAUACUCAACACACAAUACAGAUUGCAGUAUUUCAUGACCCACAGUCCAUCUUGAAGCACAAUAACAAAGGGCCUAACAUUUUUUUUUUUUUAAAGCUGCAAAAUAAUCCUCCAGGGUGUAUAUAUACAUAAAUACAAUUUGUAGAAGUGUACUCUGAUCAUUUAAAAGGAAUAAAUAAAGGUGAAUACACCAAUGCCAGCAAAGGAACUAGGAUGCCACACAGUUAAACCCAGCUUUCCCAUACUGCCUGCCGCUAAUAAGAAGCUAUGAGAUUGAAAAGUGCAUGUCUAUGACAUUUAGCAGUGCAAUCCAAAUGGGUUCAGAAAUCACCGAUCAAGUGAACUGUCGUCUCAUAUAAGUAUCUUCGUGUACAAAAACAGGAUCUUGAGUGGUCUGUGGUGUGAUAUGUUGUCCCAUGGCUAUGCCACUUGGAUUAGAAACAGGAGGAUUGCCCCAAGGACUAUUAACACUCUUUGAUGAGUUGAAAGUAAGGUAAUAGAGAAUUCCAAGGGUGACGCUUGCAAGGGCCAAGACAGCACCACCAGCAAAGACCCCUGGUUUGACAACAUAGCAGUAGUAACUCCCAAAGUACAAGCUCUCUUCGCCAUGUUGAUCAUUGAGUGCAGCACCAGUUAGCAAGAGAAGAAAAGCUAUCACAAAUGCGAACCAGGAAACAACAAAGCAGGCUGACGCUAUUGUCCAAUUUGAGUUUGAAGGGUUGGGGUUUCUUUUGCAACAAAUACACCCAGUUGCAACAUUAAGAAUUACUUGAGCCAUCAUGAGUGCCACAGCUGAGGUUAAACCAAGAGCCAGUGCAGAACUCCGGGGAAAUGUGCAUUGAGUAGCAGAUGUGAACUGAAUCUCAGAACCCUGAAAGAUUACAAGUGAAGUAAGAAAAGAAAGCAUAUUAGAAAUGCAGUAAGCUAUUUUAUAACUGCAUCAUUCAAACCAAAGAUCACUGUUGACAAGAUAUAGAGAUCAGUACGUAUAGAAAUAACCAGUGAUGACAAAGAAGAGCCUUAGCCUUUUUCUAUAUCAGCUAAUCCAUGAAUAUCUGCUGAGAUUAUCAACAAGACUAAUUAAAGAAUAACAUCACAUUCUCAUUACCUAUUGGACAUGCCCCAAUUAUAAAUUGAUCCAACACCAUUAAUGUCAUCUAGCAAUCAAUAAAGGAAAAUCAUAUUCUCAACUUUGCAGUAAGCACAACAAAGCCAUUCCGUUCAUAGAAAAAAAUGCAACAUAUUGGCAUAAUAGUAUUGCACAUGUUCACACUCACAUUUGUACAACCAUAUACACUUCAUUAAUAUUACUAUGUCAUUUUAGGAUGGCAGAAUUAUAUGCCAUAAUCUAAUGUACACAUCAAUCAUCAUGAUUGCCAAUCCCGAUUUCAUGUUUCCCAUCCACAUGAUAGUAUAAAUAUUGUAUCAGGAAUGAGGAAUUCCUGAGAAUACAAUCAAAUUAUCUUCACAACUAGGAAAAUUGAGAAUGUGAACACUUCAUAGUGUGGUUGGUGGACCUGACUCAAUGUAGCAGAGUCCAAACAGAAUGAAACAAAAUUUAUUUACUUCAUAAACCAGAAGGACUGCCUAGCCAAUGAAAAUAAGAUUAUAGGAUCAUUACUCUAGCAUUAGGGAGGUUUCUUCAGAAAGAAAUAUCAAAUAUUCACAAGGAGGAGUGCUGCUGGAACCAAACAAAUCCAUUGGCCAUUCAUGUAACAAUGGAAAAACAUGCAACUUAGAAUCAUCGCUACGGCAAUAAGAAAUGAAGAGGAUAAGUCAAAGUCAAUGCAACUCAUGGUAGAAUCAACUCAAGCAGAGCAAUCUUUAGCAACGCAUCCACCAAAAGCUGUGACAUUGCCCUCUUUUAGAUCAACAUCAUGUCAAUUAGUGAUAACGCAGUAUUAGACAAAGGUAAAAGUAAGCCUGUAAUUAACUUACAAAACCAUUAAGUUGACACAGAAUGUUUAGGCAGACCAAAGUAGCGAUUUAACCCUUGCAUCCACCAUAUGAAGUAACAUUCCUCACCUUUGACGGUUUUGUGUCAGAGGCAUUGUAAUGAAAAGCCUAACAUCUGGCUAUCAGCACUAAUAAAUUCUUGAUGGAAGACAAUUUACAACAGCAGUUAGUGAAUUAUAAGGUGAAUACAAUGAGUUAGGUAACUGAGAGGAUGGUGUACAAAAUGGAGAAAAGAAACUAUUUUCACAAUUGGCCUGCUUGCUUCUUGUUCCUGGUAUCAAGAACCAUAUGCUUUUGGAAACAGUUUUUUUGUACGCUUGUGCUCUACUCAACGCAUGCUCUUUAUUUUUCAGAACAGGAAAAAGUUGCUCACUACGAUCUCAAAAAUUGUUCCCCAGAAAAGAGUACAGAGACACUUUAGUCUUAGCAAUGUCUCCUAGUUAGUUAAGAAAGCAUAUUUUUGAGACACACAAUUACAACCUUAAUCAUAACCAAACAAUGUCUAAAUUUUAUUGACUUGUUUUGCAAUAGGAAAGAAAGAGGCAGAGAAUUGGAUUCUACGAUAACCCACGGGCACUUGAUCAACUUCAGGAGAAGACAAACUUUAUACUCAUGCGAUUCCCUAACACGGGGUCAACAAAAUCACCUAAAAGUAUAUGCAUAUUACUUGUUUUAAUAGCCAUGAACGAUUAGAUUAGAUAUUAGUUGCUAACUGUUUAUAUAAUAAUUUUAAAGUAGAUUGUGCCGUUGGAUGGAUUAAAUGAUAUCAUCUUUACUUUGGUCAAAACACCCUAGAGGACUUUUCAGGAACAGUCCCCCUCUACCUGUUAACGCUGAAAGCUACCACUUGUUGUCGAUCGAACAGAGCCUAUCUGAAUCAACUUCUUAUUUUCUGUAAAUUCUCUUUUGCUCAGUUAGUCUCAGCAACCAAAUUAAGAAAUAGUGCAACAAACAGCAAGACAAAGAUUAACCAAUCACCAAAAAGUAGUAACAGAGAAACCCACUUGAAGGUUACAGAUAAAAAGAAGAUAUAAUUACAAAAAGUUCAGAGAGAUAAAAAAAGUCUUUUAAUCCUGGUGGCUUCUGCACCAAAACCUGUAGCAGCUGACAAUAGCCCCAAGAAACCCACAACAACGCACAACACCAAGGCCUUUCUUUCCAUAUCUUUCUCGAAGCUGCUCUUGGAUCCGCAAUACAAUACAAAAAACACCGGUGAAUUGGUGGCUUAAGUCGGUAUGAGUACUGAUAGAAUCAAUGGAAAUUAACUAUGCAUAACUGAUAGCCGUUUAUAUAACCUUUGAAUUUGUCUGCUGUUGGGAAGAGUUAGUUAGUAUAGGACUUGGAGUCUCGAUUAUACGAGUGCUAUGCAUACCAGGACUAUCCAGAUAAGCAGGGCCUGUGUAUGGCAGCUCGAACUUUAUCCGGUUCACCUGUUAGCCGAUUAUUUGGAUACCCGCUCAUGAAUAUGUAGGCGCUGUCGUAUCAUUUCUGUCUUUCCAAGCACUAUCUUUCGUUCUUUAUAAACAGGGUCUCCCCCACUCUCUCUCUGGAAUCGGGCUCUCUUUUUGAAGAUGUGCCUCUUUCUCUGUUGGUAAAUGCAGUUGCCAUUAGGGCAAGCUACCCUUAAAAAAAUGGGUAUUCUCUUCUAGUAUGGCAAUGAUA
rnacentral:misc_RNA from 1 species